UUCUCGUACUGGUCGUUGAUGAACUUCAUGAUGGGCUGCCAGCUGCGCGGAGAGGCCCCGUCAGGCCGCACCAGGCGACGGCUCCCGCCCCGUCCCCUCCCGCAGGCCGCCAGUCCCCUGAUUCCCCACCCGGUACCCAGUCUUCCAGGUCUGUGGACGGGCAGAUGGGACGGAGCUGCUUCUAGAAGCAACUCAAGCUUCUGCAGCUUGCAGGUGUCAGAGGGCGUGGACAGCGGGGGCAGGCACCCUUCCCACCCACGACAAGGAGGGACCAUCUGCUGACCAGUUCCAGAAUCGGAGCGUGGGCGGCUUAUCCACACAAAGUCACUCAACUUCUCCAUUUUCUCAGCCCCACAAAGCGUGGGUAAUUCCUACUUCACCGGAUGGGGGAUGGAGCAAAUAACAGAGCACAUGUGAAAGCGCCGGGGACCCCCGCUGCCCCCCGCCCAGGCCAGCGAUGACAGCCUCGGGCCUCCUCCCAGCAGCGCCCAGAAGGCAUCUGCCUCUGCUCCCUCUUCAGAAACACUGUCCCCGAGCUCGAGCUCCAGCAUCUUUAAAUAAACAAAGACAAGCGCUGCAUCUGGCCUUGAACAUGUGGCUGUGGGGCUGCUUCCUGGAGGCAGCCGUGGGGCCUCCUCUUGCAGGCCAGCAGUUCAGCCCAGCCCCACGUGACCCCAAAUUGCUUCCAUCUGCCUGUGGGUCUGGGAGCCAUUCUGUCCGGGCCUGGGCG